CUACGGAAGGCAGCAGUGGGGAAUAUUGCACAAUGGGCGAAAGCCUGAUGCAGCCAUGCCGCGUGUGUGAAGAAGGCCUUCGGGUUGUAAAGCACUUUAGGCGGGGAGGAAAAGCGUACGGUUAAUAACCGUGCGCCGUGACGUUACCCGCAGAAUAAGCACCGGCUAACUCCGUGCCAGCAGCCGCGGUAAUACGGAGGGUGCGAGCGUUAAUCGGAAUUACUGGGCGUAAAGCGCGCGUAGGCGGUUUGAUAAGCGGAGUGUGAAAUCCCCGGGCUUAACCUGGGAACUGCAUUCCGAACUGUCGAGCUAGAGUAUGAGAGAGGGUGGCGGAAUUCCGAGUGUAGCGGUGAAAUGCGUAGAUAUUCGGAGGAACACCAGUGGCGAAGGCGGCCACCUGGAUCAAUACUGACGCUGAGGCGCGAAAGCGCGGGUAGCAAACAGGAUUAGAUACCCGUGUAGUCCU
rnacentral:rRNA from 1 species